GAAGAGCGGGCAGGAGCGAGAGGAGCCUCUCUCAGGGUCGAGAGACGACGCCGAGUGGAGGGAGCCGGGCGAGGCCUCCCUCAGCCCCGGCGCCCUUCAGGUGUUCCUGGACGGCGGUUCCCGUCACCCCCGACCGCGAUGGUGCAUGGCGGGCACCCGGUUGAGAAAGUCAGCGCUCUCGACAUCCCCCCCUUUUUUUUUGCUGGGGCAAAAUAGGCUAUUCAAUGGUAGAACCUCCAACUACAUACCCAAAGCAUCCAAACUGCCGCAGCGGGUAGAGUUAGGACAUUUUAUUAGAGCCACCUGAACGUCCCAAGAGGGCUUCAACCGAGUUCAGGCAUCUCCAUUUAUCUUAUGCUGCCCACCUGUACACAGCUUGGUUUAGUAUUUCAGCUUGUCAAACAACAACGAAUGAACAACACCCGUAUUGUUCCUCUGACUCUGGAAAAGGGUCAAUCCUGAGCAUCUCUAGGCAGAGCUGUGAAUGUUGCGUCUGAAAUCUUGGACAACCACUGCUGAACUGUGCAGACUAAUGGUCUGAGGCUUUUGUUACCUGUUCUUGUACAAUAUCAUAAAGCUUUACUUGAAAUCCAGCAGAAGCAAAUAACAUGGCCCAGCUACAUCCAAUGAGUCCACUAAGAAGAAAAGAGAAAACGAAAUUCCACAAAGAGAGUUUGGAAUUCCAGUAACAUAAUGAUAUUCCAGUCUCUUUCCGGCAAGCAGGACAUAAAUUAUUCAGGAGAAGGCCAACUGAAACAAAUGAGUUUUUAAGGUCUUCUGAAAAGUCUGAGGUGUAGCUGCCAUUGCAGCAUUUCUGGGAAAGAACUCCAAAGGUGUGGUGGAGCCACCACAAAAGAAGCCCUGCCUCUUAUGCUCAACCACCUCACAGACCUAUUCCUGUCACAACACAGAAGCAAAACAAGGUUUUCCUGUUUCAGCACCUGUUGAAGGCAGCAACCUGGAUGUGGAUAUAGUUAACCAACCCACAGAUUCAGCAAUAGAAGUUUAAGGUAUGUUUUGAAAGGGCAAUGAAGGACGCAACAGACCAAUCAGCAUAUUACAAAGCAAUUUGGCUCACAUCCUACUUUUGGAACAUCUAAGUUUAUUAAGCAGAGAGUGAAUGUUGAACAAAAUGGACUUGGGUUGAAAAUAGUCUUAUUUCACUAUUCUGUAGGUUAUUCUGCAUGCUACAGGCCUGAAAUUCUGCAUACAGAGCAUCCGUCUAAGUACAUAUGGAAUGCAGAAACAUUCAGGUGAACAUAUAUAGUCAUAUGACGUUGCCUUACCCCCAGUUAGGCUAUUCAUCUAUCUUGCCCGCUAUUAUAUACUCUGAUCAUGGCUCCCUUGCCUGUCAGGAUUCUUCCCUGCCCUGUUACCUGAAAAACUUGA